rnacentral:rRNA from 1 species
CCCUAUUAUUAUUAUUAAAAAUUAAUUUAGAGUAGUAGCUGUUAAAGUCAGGAAACUAAAAGAAUUUGGCGGUGGUUAUUCAGUUUAGAGGAAUAUGUUUUUUAAAUGAUAUUCCUCAAAUAUCUUACUUAAUUUUAUUUAUUAUGUAUAUCUCCGUCUUAAAAAGUUUUUUUAAAAUAUAUUUUAAAUUUCUAAAUUGAAAUAAGUCAGGUCAAGAUGCAGAUUAUAAUUAAGUUAAAAUGUAUUACAAUAAAUUUAUUUUUGGAUAAUGUUGAAAAUAUUUAUGAAAUUGGAUUUAAGAGUAAAAUUAUUUAAAUAAUAAAAAUUUGAAUUUUGUUAAUAAUUAUGUACACAUCGCCC